GUUAAAGAGCCCAAGUCACCGUUUUCGGUCACCACUCCCAACAGCUAAGAAAUGAAGCUUUUGGGACAUAACAACGGCUAAGAGUCCUUCAAUUGCUUCAUUAAAUGGAAGGAAAACUAGAAGCCAUGUCAUUUCUGGACCCUUUGCUGUUCCAUCCAUGCUUCUUCAGAAGACAGAUUGUUUGAGGUGACAGAGAAUAUGAAAAGAGGAAAGAAAUGAAUGACCAAGGUAAUCCUUGCUAUAUUAUCCUGCUUAAGCCUGGUCAGAUCAACAGGGAAGGAGGACAAUUGUAUGAUUGUAGAUGCUUGCUGUCCUUCCGUUCUUGUAUGUGGUCAACACAGAAGGAAAUCAUUAUUAUGUUACUUUUCUUAUAAGCAGCAAGAUUCAUUCGUUCUUUUCGUUUUCUUUUUUACCUUUCAAUGUUAUUUUGUUCCAAUCUCUUAUUGACUAAAAUGUAUUCAGAGAGCAAGUCCUAUUAUUUCUUCUCUCCUUGUAACCUAAGCUUGUUAAUCACUAAGAUACCCUUUAAAUGAUUGAUUUGGUAAACAAAAAGAACCAUGUUUAUGGAAGCCCAUGUUUAUAUAAGGAAUUUGUUAAUAAGAUGCUUGGAGUUAAAUUGGUA